GCGGGGGGGGAUCUACAUAUCAAUAAGCGGAGGAAAAGAAACCAACAGGGAUUGCCCUAGUAACGGCGAGUGAAGCGGCAACAGCUCAAAUUUGAAAUCUGGCGUCUUCGGCGUCCGAGUUGUAAUUUGCAGAGGGCGCUUUGGCAUUGGCAGCGGUCCAAGUUCCUUGGAACAGGACGUCACAGAGGGUGAGAAUCCCGUACGUGGUCGCUAGCCUUUACCGUGUAAAGCCCCUUCGACGAGUCGAGUUGUUUGGGAAUGCAGCUCUAAAUGGGAGGUAAAUUUCUUCUAAAGCUAAAUACUGGCCAGAGACCGAUAGCGCACAAGUAGAGUGAUCGAAAGAUGAAAAGCACUUUGGAAAGAGAGUUAAAAAGCACGUGAAAUUGUUGAAAGGGAAGCGCUUGCAGCCAGACUUGCCUGUAGUUGCUCAUCCGGGUUUCUACCCGGUGCACUCUUCUAUAGGCAGGCCAGCAUCAGUUUGGGCGGUUGGAUAAAGGUCUCUGUCAUGUACCUCCUUUCGGGGAGAACUUAUAGGGGAGACGACAUGCAACCAGCCCGGACUGAGGUCCGCGCAUCUGCUAGGAUGCUGGCGUAAUGGCUGUAAGCGGCCCGUCUUGAAACACGGACCAAGGAGUCUAACAUCUAUGCGAGUGUUUGGGUGUCAAGCCCGAACGCGUAAUGAAAGUGAACGGAGGUGGGAACCUUUCGGGGUGCACCAUCGACCGAUCCUGAUGUCUUCGGAUGGAUUUGAGUAAGAGCAUAGCUGUUGGGACCCGAAAGAUGGUGAACUAUGCUUGAAUAGGGUGAAGCCAGAGGAAACUCUGGUGGAGGCUCGCAGCGGUUCUGACGUGCAAAUCGAUCGUCAAAUUUGGGGCAUAGGGGGAAAGAUAAUGAAUUAUUGUG
rnacentral:rRNA from 1 species